GACGAACGCUGGCGGCGUGCCUAAUACAUGCAAGUAGAACGCUGAAGGAGGAGCUUGCUUCUCUGGAUGAGUUGCGAACGGGUGAGUAACGCGUAGGUAACCUGCCUUGUAGCGGGGGAUAACUAUUGGAAACGAUAGCUAAUACCGCAUAAGAGUAGCUGUUGCAUUACAUUUGCUUAAAAGGUGCAAUUGCAUCACUACCAGAUGGACCUGCGUUGUAUUAGCUAGUUGGUGGGGUAACGGCUCACCAAGGCGACGAUACAUAGCCGACCUGAGAGGGGGGGCGGCCACACUGGGACUGAGACACGGCCCAGACUCCUUCGGGAGGCAGCAGGAGGGAAUCUUCGGCAAUGGACGGAAGUCUGACCGAGCAACGCAGCGUGAGUGAAGAAGGUUUUCGGUUCGGAAAGCUCUGUUGUAAGAGAAGAACGAGUGUGAGAGUGGAAAGUUCACACUGUGACGGUAUCUGACCAGAAAGGGACGGCUAACUACGUG
rnacentral:rRNA from 1 species